rfam:Haloplasma contractile SSD-17B Contig6, whole genome shotgun sequence.
AAACUCUUAUAGUAAUAUAAGACUGAAUAAUGAGAAGUCAGCAGAUGCCAUAGUACUAUACAAUAGUAUAGGAAGGGC